UACGUAGGGGGCUAGCGUUGUCCGGAAUCAUUGGGCGUAAAGCGCGCGUAGGUGGCCUCAUAAGUCCGCUGUGAAAGUCAAAGGCUCAACCUUUGAAAGCCGGUGGAUACUGUGAGGCUAGAGUACGGAAGAGGCGAGUGGAAUUCCUGGUGUAGCGGUGAAAUGCGUUGAUAUCCAGCGGAACUCCGGUGGCGAAGGCGAGGUGCUGGACCCUUUCUGACGCUGAGGCGCGAAAGCCAGGGGAGCAAACGGG
rnacentral:rRNA from 1 species